rnacentral:snoRNA from 1 species
CUGCUGCUUUGGGAUGAAAUAGUUCAUAAAUAUCAAUUAAAUCCAUCUGAUUAUGUGUGUCAUUUAAGGCCUCUGUUUCUUUGUUGAUUUUUUUUGCAUGGAAGAUCU